UGGAAGUAAAAGUCGUAACAAGGUUUCCGUAGGUGAACCUGCGGAAGGAUCAUUACUGAUUUGCUUAAUUGCACCACAUGUGUUUUUCUUUGAAACAAACUUGCUUUGGCGGUGGGCCCAGCCUGCCGCCAGAGGUCUAAACUUACAACCAAUUUUUUAUCAACUUGUCACACCAGAUUAUUACUUAAUAGUCAAAACUUUCAACAACGGAUCUCUUGGUUCUCGCAUCGAUGAAGAACGCAGCGAAAUGCGAUACGUAAUAUGAAUUGCAGAUAUUCGUGAAUCAUCGAAUCUUUGAACGCACAUUGCGCCCUCUGGUAUUCCGGAGGGCAUGCCUGUUUGAGCGUCGUUUCUCCCUCAAACCGCUGGGUUUGGUGUUGAGCAAUACGACUUGGGUUUGCUUGAAAGACGGUAGUGGUAAGGCGGGAUCGCUUUGACAAUGGCUUAGGUCUAACCAAAAACAUUGCUUGCGGCGGUAACGUCCACCACGUAUAUCUUCAAACUUUGACCUCAAAUCAGGUAGGACUACCCGCUGAACUUAAGCAUAUCAAUAAGCGGAGGA
rnacentral:misc_RNA from 1 species